rnacentral:rRNA from 1 species
GAUGAACGCUGGCGGCGUGCCUAAUACAUGCAAGUCGAGCGAACAGAUAAGGAGCUUGCUCCUUUGACGUUAGCGGCGGACGGGUGAGUAACACGUGGGUAACCUACCUAUAAGACUGGGAUAACUUCGGGAAACCGGAGCUAAUACCGGAUAACAUUUGGAACCGCAUGGUUCUAAAGUGAAAGAUGGUUUUGCUAUCACUUAUAGAUGGACCCGCGCCGUAUUAGCUAGUUGGUAAGGUAACGGCUUACCAAGGCGACGAUACGUAGCCGACCUGAGAGGGUGAUCGGCCACACUGGAACUGAGACACGGUCCAGACUCCUACGGGAGGCAGCAGUAGGGAAUCUUCCGCAAUGGGCGAAAGCCUGACGGAGCAACGCCGCGUGAGUGAUGAAGGGUUGCGGCUCGUAAAACUCUGUUAUUAGGGAAGAACAAAUGUGUAAGUAACUGUGCACGUCUUGACGGUACCUAAUCAGAAAGCCACGGCUAACUACGU